CGGGCGGGCGAAGAGGGGGCGGGAGCAGCGCGCGGAGAGUUUCGCAAUCGCCGCUCGCCCGCACUCAACACUUUAAAGAAAGAGACUCGGGCCCGGCCCGCGCCCCCUCCCCGCCCGCCCGCGGCCGGUACCGCAGCCGCAGCCGCCGCCGGGCCAGGAUCAUCUGGAUUUAGAGUCAGAUCCUACUGGGGUAUUCCUACUGAAGCCCAUGAGAAAGGAGGCCAUGUAUUGCUGUUCAGAUUUGGACUGAUUUUGCACUGGAUAGACAAGACAGCUGAUCGAAUUUGUACAGUAAAGUCAUCCUAAUGAUCAGAGUCAACCAAGUCGCAUCUCAGAAAAAGAAGCAGAGAGAAACACUUUAUAUUUUUUGCUGCUAAGUAAAAUACUGGUUUAAUUAACAAAUUUUUUUUUCCCCAAAACAAAAACUGGGAAGUUUAAUUUUUUUUCCUUUUGGAAAAGCAAAGAUAAUAAAGGUGUUGAUUUGCUCAGGA